rnacentral:rRNA from 1 species
CCUACGGGAGGGAGCAGUAGGGAAUCUUCCACAAUGGACGAAAGUCUGAUGGAGCAACGCCGCGUGAGUGAAGAAGGUUUUCGGAUCGUAAAACUCUGUUGUAAGGGAAGAACACGUACGAGAGUAACUGCUCGUACCUUGACGGUACCUUAUUAGAAAGCCACGGCUAACUACGUGCCAGCAGCCGCGGUAAUAC